rnacentral:rRNA from 1 species
CCUACGGGCGGCUGCAGUGGGGAAUUUUGGGCAAUGGGCGCAAGCCUGACCCAGCGACGCUGCGUGGGUGAUGACGGUCUUUGGAUUGUAAAACCCUUUUAUGGAGGAGUAAGGCGGGAAGGAGGAAAUGCCUUUCCGUUUGACAGUACUCCAUGAAUAAGCCCCAGCCAACUACGUGCCAGCAGCUGCGGUAAUACGUAGGGGGCAAGCGUUGUCCGGAAUUACUGGGUGUAAAGGGUGUGCAGGCGUCUCCCUAAGUUGAUUGUGAAAGCCCGAAGCUCAACUUCGGAACGGCAGUCAAUACUGGGGGGAUGGAGGUUAUGGGAGGGAAGUGGAAUUCUCGGUGUAGCGGUGAAAUGCGUAGAUAUCGAGAGGAACACCGGUGGCGAAGGCGGCUUCCUAUCAUAGACCUGACGCUCAUACACGAAAGCUAGGGGAGCAAACAGGCUUAGAUACCCCUGUAGUC